rnacentral:rRNA from 1 species
CCCUUAGAUGUUCUGGGCCGCACGCGCGCUACACUGAUGCAUUCAACAAGCCUAGCCUUGACCGAGAGGUCCGGGUAAUCUUUGAAACUGCAUCGUGAUGGGGCUAGAUUAUUGCAAUUAUUAAUCUUCAACGAGGAAUGCCUAGUAAGCGUGAUUCAUCAAAUCGCGUUGAUUACGUCCCUGCCCUUUGUACACACCGCCCGUCGCUCCUACCGAUUGACUGUGUUGGUGAGGAGCUCGGAUUGGCAGCAGUUGGUGGUUCGCCACCGGCUAUUGCUGAGAAGUCCUCCAAACCGCCCCAUUUAGAGGAAGGAGAAGUCGUAACA